rnacentral:rRNA from 1 species
GAUCCCAUCAGUACUCCGCAGUUAAACACGCUUGGGCCAGAGUAGUACUGGGAUGGGUGACCUCCCGGGAAGUCCUGGUGUUGCACCCU